rnacentral:rRNA from 1 species
AUACGGAGGAUCCGAGCGUUAUCCGGAUUUAUUGGGUUUAAAGGGAGCGUAGGUGGAUUGUUAAGUCAGUUGUGAAAGUUUGCGGCUCAACCGUAAAAUUGCAGUUGAAACUGGCAGUCUUGAGUACAGUAGAGGUGGGCGGAAUUCGUGGUGUAGCGGUGAAAUGCUUAGAUAUCACGAAGAACUCCGAUUGCGAAGGCAGCUCACUGGACUGCAACUGACACUGAUGCUCGAAAGUGUGGGUAUCAAACAGGAUUAGAUACCCUGGUAGUCCACACAGUAAACGAUGAAUACUCGCUGUUUGCGAUAUACAGUAAGCGGCCAAGCGAAAGCAUUAAGUAUUCCACCUGGGGAGUACGCCGGCAACGGUGAAACUCAAAUGAAUUGACGGGG